UGGAUGUGAUGAGGAAUUCCAGGCCUGACACAUCUGCUGUGGAGGCAAAAGCUGAUUUAAUGAGCCUGAUCC
ensembl:snoRNA small nucleolar RNA, C/D box 57